UUAGCUGGCGUCAAAUAGUUUUCCACCGAUAUUCUCAUCCCAACAAACAAAUUAUUUCAGGUAGCUAGGAAAUUCGUUUAAAUGUGUUUUACAUUUUCAUUUGGUACUUUAAUGAGUUAUUUAAAUAACGCAUGGCUCAGACAAACUCUAGAGUCUUUUAAGAGUGUUUGUUAUCCUAGCUUGUAAGCUAGCUAACGUUACACUUACCAUUGUCUUGGGUUGGAAAGUGACGGCAGCUCAAUAGCCCACCAUGUCUGAACCGGGUUCUGGGUGAGGCGUUCCAGUCCAGAGAAGCUCACAACAGGGUCCAGAGGUGGUGUCAGUGAAGCUGGAGGACUGCGGUCAAACACUGGAYCUCAAUGUGAUUGUGAAAGAGGAGGAGAAUGGAGAGGUUAAAGAAGAAAAGCGCYGAAAUCAAAGAAGAUAAGGAAGAGGGGGAGAAGAGAGAGGUCCAAAACGAAGAGGAGAGAAAUGCUGAUAUGGCUCCUCCAGCCUAGAACUGGAAAGCGACAUAAAAGGCGUGACUCAUGACGUGUCUGUUUACCGCUAGCUCUGCUAGCUCUGCUAGCUCUGCAAAGCAGCGGAAAUAGGUAACUUGUGGGUGAAUCCCUUUACGUAAGAACUGCAAAGUAAGCUGGUCAUACCAAGCAUCAUUUAACUAUUUUGAUUUAGGUAUAAAAAUAUAUAUAUAUAAAAUAAUNAUCUACAACACUGUACCACUAGGCUACCUGCCGCCCUACACUCUAACCACUAGCUAACCCUGCCGCCACUACACUCUAACCACUAGGCUACCUGCCUCCCCUACACUCUAACCACUAGGCUACCGCGCUACCCUAACACUCUAACCACUAGGCUGACCUGCCACCCCGACACUCUAACCACCAGGCUACCUGCC
rnacentral:lncRNA from 1 species